GCCCGGUUAGCUCAAUCGGUAGAGCGUGAGACUCUUAAGAUUCUCGUGGAAAACACAGAACAAGGAAAUCUCAAGGUUGCGGGUAAGUUACAGAUAUAAGAAAAAUUCUUAGGAGGGUGCAUCUUCGUACUAACUCGAUUCUAUAGGUUCGACCCCCGCAUCGGGCU